GGCUUCAUAGCUCAGCUGGUUAGAGCGUCGCACCGGAAGCGUCGCAUCGCAAGGUCACGGGUUCAAACCCCGUUGAAGUCC
rnacentral:tRNA from 1 species